AUUGAACGCUGGCGGCAUGCCUUACACAUGCAAGUCGAACGGUAACGCGGGGCAACCUGGCGACGAGUGGCGAACGGGUGAGUAACGCAUCGGAACGUGCCCAGUAGUGGGGGAUAGCCCGGCGAAAGCCGGAUUAAUACCGCAUACGACCUACGGGUGAAAGGGGGGGAUCGCAAGACCUCUCGCUAUUGGAGCGGCCGAUGUCAGAUUAGGUAGUUGGUGGGGUAAAGGCCUACCAAGCCGACGAUCUGUAGCUGGUCUGAGAGGACGACCAGCCACACUGGGACUGAGACACGGCCCAGACUCCUGCGGGAGGCAGCAGUGGGGAAUUUUGGACAAGGGGCGAAAGCCUGAUCCGGCCAUGCCGCGUGCGGGAAGAAGGCCUUCGGGUUGUAAACCGCUUUUGUCAGGGAAGAAAUCUUCUGGGUUAAUACCUCGGGAGGAUGACGGUACCUGAAGAAUAAGCACCGGCUAACUACGUGCCAGCAGCCGCCGCAGUAA
rnacentral:rRNA from 1 species